CGGUUGGGGUGACCUCGGAGAAUAAAAAAUCCUCCGAAUGUUAUAACCUAGACUUACAAGUCAAAGUAAAAUCAACAUAUCUUAUNGACCCAAAUAUAUUUUGAUCAACGGACCAAGUUACCCUAGGGAUAACAGC
rnacentral:rRNA from 1 species